ACAUUUAAAUAAUUCAUUAACAACUAUAUAUAAAAAUAAAAUUAACUUGAUUUUAAAGUGUGACUUCCAUUUAUAGAACAAGAUUCUUUAAUAAUUAAAUACCGCCAAAUAGACUAACUUUGACUAUUCCAUUAGUAACUUAUACAUUUUCAUUAAUUCUUCUAGGGUAUCUAAUCCUAUUGACUACAAAUUAACUAAAAUUGAAAAUUCACUUUCUAAUUAAAAUCUAAAAAUUUCACCUAAAUAUAUUUUAAUUAAAAUUCAAUUUAACUUUCAAUAACCAAACAAUCAUUAAUUUCACCAGCCAUGUAUAAC
rnacentral:rRNA from 1 species